rnacentral:lncRNA from 1 species
UUUCUCAGCCUUUUCAAGGUAAUCUCCAAAGCUAGAAUGUUCUCAUUCUCGUCCAGGCCUCUUGGAACUUUGACUACAUGGGAGGAUUAGCUCAAAUACCACUUCUGAUUGCCCAAACUGAUAUAUAUAUAGUAACCCAGGACUAUUUUUAGAUUUUAAUCCUCAAAAGUGUAAACAUCAUACUUAAAGGUUGAGCAUGAAGAUCUGCCCAUUUUAGAUUGGAUCACCAAAAGUGAAAAAACCCAUUCACAUUUGAAUAGGGGACGUCUGUGACCUACAUGUGUGAUAGGGGUGAUGAAUCAGAAUCGACUGACUGCCUUCUGUGCAGUACUAGAGCAGAGCAUCAACUGUGAUCAGUAGACAUAAAAUUAGGGGAAGACACAGGAAAUGACACAAGAGAAAAUGUCUUUAGAAGGGAGUGAUAGCUUCCUGAAGGAGUUCUAUUCUUCAUGAUUUUGAGAUGAGGCUGGUGAAGAGGGACAGAAGGAUCUGCUGCUUGGACCUGAGAACCUGUUCCUUUAGACAGACAUGUGAGGGAAGAAAAGAUUUGAGUUGGCUAGGAUCCCAUUAGCACAACGUAGCUGGAGCCCAGCCAUCUGUCACAGCUGCUGCUCGCUUUAACUGCCACUCUCAUUGACAAUGAACCCAGAGACCUGUAAUAAUUGUGGCUGCUCAGUGACUUCAGCAGAAAGAGUCAUUUCAAGGAGAAUAACUGAGCAACCUUGUCUUGGAUUCUCGCCAGGAUGCCCUCCUAACUCUCUCAACUUUGUCUACAAUGUUCCCAGGCAGAUUCUCCCACUCUCCACUUCACAAACUGUUCAUCUUUUUUUCUGUCUUAUCCUCAGCUAUUAAAAUAAAACUUCCCUUUCUUUCUGUUUGUAUUUGUAU